UGGUUCAGAUUUGCAUCCAUUGACCAAUAUUCCUCACUGCUGCCUCCCGUAGGAGUUUGGACCGUGUCUCAGUUCCAAUGUGGGGGACCUUCCUCUCAGAACCCCUACUGAUCGAAGUCUUGGUGAGCCGUUACCUCACCAACAAACUAAUCAGACGCAUCCCCAUCCAAUACCGAAAUUCUUUAAUGUAUAAUUCAUGAGAAAAAUACAUACCAUCAGGAAUUAGUCCGUCUUUCAACGGGUUAUGCCUGAGUAUUGGGUAGGUUGGAUACGCGUUACUCACCCGUGCGCCGGUCGCCAUCAUUGGUUGCAAGCAACCAACAUGCUGCCCCUCGACUUGCAUGUGUUAAGCCUGUAGCUAGCGUUCAUCCUGAGCCAGGAUCAAACCCUC
rnacentral:rRNA from 1 species